AAUUGUGUAUUUAGGGACCAGGACUGGAAAUAUGGCUCAGUCUAACUCUAUUUAAGCUUCAUAAUUAGUUAUAUUACUGUAAUGUGACUAUGCCAGUUCUCCCCAGAAGUACAUUUCCCUUUUCUUUCACACUGAAGAUUUAGUAGAAUGGAAUCCUUGUGUUAUGUGCACAUUAGCGGCAGAGGAUUUUUCUCUCCUCCAGCUUCACAUUAUACAGUGUAGCAUAAUAAUUUUGAGGUGGAUGAUAAUACUAAAUAAGGAGAGAAGGUGACAAAUGAUUGAAAAGAAAGACAAUAGAGGGUAGGAUAUGGAUAAAUGAUAGAUGAUUGACAGAAAACAGAUGCAUAGAUAUAUAGAUGAUAGAUGAUAAAUUGAUUGGUGAUAUUUAGAUUGACUGAUAGAUAAAUAGAUUACAAUAUAAUAUAAUUAUUACAAUAUAAUAAAAAUCACACUCUUCUCAAUUUUGAGAAUAGAAGUAUACACAUAAGCAAACAAAAGCCUGACGAGUUUUUAUAUUGAGCUACAAC
rnacentral:lncRNA from 1 species